rnacentral:tRNA from 1 species
GCCCUCAUAGCUCAGUUGGUAGAGCGCGUUCUUGGUAAGAACGAGGUCAUCAGUUCGAAUCUGAUUGAGGGCUCCA